GGCAUUUGUCACGGUAAAGAUCCUCCUCCUCUGUUUGAUUGGCAGCCUCAGAACCCUGCCGAUCCAAAAUGAUGUGACUCUGCAUCCUAGUUGGGUGGAGCGCCUCUGGGGGUCUGCUGGUGGCCCACUCCACGAAAGCUCUGGAUCUGGAUCUGGCGUUGACCUCCGUGCAGAAGAGUUUGAUCCCAGCCUUGAUCCUGAGCAAACCAGUGAUGCUAACGUCGGCUUCAGGCCUAACCCCAAUGUACAACCUCCUCUGCUUAGUCCAGACACCCAUCCGGUUGUGGACCAACCCGCACAAAAUGCUACUGAGAUAAAUAGAUCGCCUCGUGCUGCUGAAUCAGCACAGUCUAGUGAUCCUAGUGGGUCACCUGAUUCAAAGAACUCA